CGCUGCAGUUAAUCGUAUAUUAAAAAAUAGACAGGUUUUGGAAUAAAAGUCGUCUCUGGUAAUUCCAGUUCUAUGAGAGGGCUUGUUUAUUAUAAAAUUCCGCUCGUCUGCGAUAGCGUAUGCCGAUAAUAAUGGUGUGGUAUGGAACAGCUGUGAUCCGAGGACCGGACAUCGAAUAUGACGGUGAGACAUACUGCAUGGACCUCUCCAGCUUUCGAUAGUCAGUUGCUGUUCCCAGGAAUCCAAUGUUUGCUAAAAGAAAUUUAAAUAUAUAAUUAAUAAAUUAUUAUUAUUACUUUAUUAAUAUUUAAGAAUGCAUGUGUUUGCAAUUGUAAACAAAGGCUUUUGUUGUAAUUUUGUGUGUAAUUUUACAAAAAAUAAAGAGGUGGCGUAAUGGUGAGCAAGCCCGACUUGUAAUCUAAUGGUAGUGGGUUCGAGUCCUGCCCGCGCCAGAACUUCAUUGUUAAGUUUUUUUUAUGUUCUUUGUUCACUUGACAAAUAUUUUAUAUUAAAUGGAAUUAGAAGAUUUUUUACUCAAUUUUAAAGAAUAACGAUCAUAUAUUAAUCCAGAACAAUUAUGACAAAGCUUUCUUGUAAUUUUACAUCAAUUAAACAGGUGGUGUGAUGGUCAGCAAGCCCGACUUGUAAUCUAAAGGUAGUGGGUUCGAAUCCUGCUCGUGCCAAAAUUUUAUUGUUAAGCUUUUUUUAUGUUCUUUGUUCACUUGACAAAUAUUUUAUAUUAAAUGGAAUUAGAAGAUUUUUAAAUUAAUUUUAAAGAAUAAAGAUUUAAUAUAUUUAUCCAGAACAAUUAUGACGAUGCUUUCUUGUAAUUUUACAACAAAUAAAGAGGUGGCGUAAGGGUGAGACAUUCUGCCCUAUAACUCAAAGAAGCCGAGUUCGAAUCCUACUCCCGCCCCAAAUCAUUCGUUGGAUUUUUAUUUUGUUUAUUUAGUUAAUUUUUUAUUUUUUAAUUAUAUACUAAAAAAAUAAAAUAGUUUGAAACACAAAUUUGGGAAAACGCAAUGCAUUUCAGAACGAUUUGAAAUCAGAGCUUUCGGUUAUAGGCACAAGCUUUUUCUAUGCACUUAGUUACCGUUUGAAAGUGCAUUCUACUUGAAGUUAAGUUAAUUAUAUGCAAGGGCACCUGAUGGUCUAGAGGUGAAGAUCAAUGACCGAUAACCCGGAGGAACUGAGUUUCGAGACCGCCCGCGAUCGAUCCCCACCCCCACUCACAGUAAGUAAAAAUAAUGACUAAUAUAUAAUAAUGAUAUUUGAUAAAUUGAUGUGAAUUAAAAAUGUAAUAUGUUAAGAUAUUAAUAUAAUUAAAGGCUUAAAGGCUAUAGGCUUUAAAGCUACUAAUGAGUAAAAAUAAAUAUAUGUAUUUAUAAAAUAGUAUUAACUCUCACAAUCAAACUAACAAAAUUUAACCUCUCUCAAUUAUAAGCGGAAACGGAAGCGUGUAGAGGGAUGAAAAUAAUGUUAAUAUAACAGGCUGUAAAAUCGCUACACUGUUAACUGAUACCUUGUUAACUGAUACUGUUAAAAUACCAAUUGAUACUGUUAACUGAUACUGUUGUUAGUUAAUUGCGGAUAAAUGCGCUAAAGUUUCCGGAUAAUGGUUAAAUAAUGUUAAUGUCCCGGUAAAUGUUAAAAUAACAUUGGAAAAAUAACAGGAGGAAAGAGCAGGUAGAGUAACAUAGAACAGUAUGUUAGGAAUUAACAGUGGAAUUAAAAAUAGAAACAUAAAAAAAA